AGAGUUUGAUCAUGGCUCAGAGCGAACGCUGGCGGCAGGCCUAACACAUGCAAGUCGAACGAACUCUUCGGAGUUAGUGGCGGACGGGUGAGUAACACGUGGGAACGUGCCUUUUGGUUCGGAAUAACUCAGGGAAACUUGUGCUAAUACCGAAUGUGCCCUUCGGGGGAAAGAUUUAUCGCCAUUAGAGCGGCCCGCGUCUGAUUAGCUAGUUGGUGAGGUAACGGCUCACCAAGGCAACGAUCCGUAGCUGGUCUGAGAGGAUGAUCAGCCACACUGGGACUGAGACACGGCCCAGACUCCUACGGGAGGCAGCAGUGGGGAAUAUUGGACAAUGGGCGCAAGCCUGAUCCGGCAAUGCCGCGUGAGUGAUGAAGGCCUUAGGGUUGUAAAGCUCUUUCGGCGGGGAAGAUGAUGACGGUACCCGCAGAAGAAGCCCCGGCUAACUUCGUGCCAGCAGCCGCGGUAAUACGAAGGGGGCUAGCGUUGUUCGGAAUUAC
rnacentral:rRNA from 1 species